GCGCCCGUAGCUCAGCUGGAUAGAGCGUCGGACUUCGAAUCCGUAGGCCGCAGGUUCGAAUCCUGCCGGGCGCA
rnacentral:tRNA from 1 species